rnacentral:other from 1 species
AUUACCCUGAAAUGCACGAUAAACCUUGUUAGUUUUGAACCUACAUUUACUUUAAACGGGAUUCCUACAUUGCUGUAUGGCUGUCAGGCCCCCACUUUCGCAAGAAAGGAUCGCAGGGGAAGACAAAAGUACGGUUGCGGUCACCCACCUAGCUUUGCUAGGAGUCAAAAAACAAGGGGCGGCAUUUUGGGUGUAAA